UAUUUUGACAUUCGGUGGCACAUUUUUCAAAUCUAGGACGAGGAAGAGAAUAUUAACAUUGGUUGCGAGAUACAGAAGAAUAAGAACAACACACAGAAGAGGAACAGAAUAUCUCCACAAGCUUUGUUGGGGAUUGGCGAAAGCAUAUUUGAAAUGUAUCAAGGGAUGACACAGAGACCUCUGGCUCUGAGCUAGACAGUGAGCCAGAGCUGUCAGGAGAUGUCAUCGAGCUCCUCCCAACUGCAUCAAACACCAGAUAUGCUGUUCCAGAAGGACCCAAUGACAUUACAAGAUCCAGAGAAGAGGGUCCUGUAUAGCCGUGUUUCAAAACACGGGACUAGGAAAGGGGCUUUCAACAGCUCCUGGUAUAAGGACAAUUCAUGGCUUGAAUAUUCUGUCAAUCAAGAUUCGACUUGUUUCGCCUGUAGGAAUUUUUCUCUGAUCAAUACACCUGAAUCUGCCUUCACAUCGUCAGGUUUUUGUACAAUGCUAUGUAUGCUUGGAAUCAGCCUAAAAGGGCUAUUGACAGCAACUCAUCAAUGUUCGAUGUCAUAAAUGAGGACCGGAAAAAGAAAGUGGAGGAAAACUGUACUUACAUUAAAACAACUGCAGAUGUGCUCCUAUUAACUGCCACUCAAAAUAUAGAGCAGAGAGGUCAUCGAGAGUCUGAUGACCAUCACAACAAGGGUCAUUUUUUGACAAACUUAGAAGAAAUAGCAAAGCAUGACCCUCUCAUGGAGAAAAGGAUGAAUGCAUGUGGUAAUGCUAAGUAACCUCUCCAAUCUCGUCUCAUUGAUUCGACUCCAGGUUAGUUGACUACUGACUCCAAUUAGCUUUUGGAGAA